rnacentral:misc_RNA from 1 species
GAGGCAGGUAGAGAGUUCUGGAGCUGCCAUGACGACGUCGCAAGUGCAUAGCCUGUUGCCCGAAGGCAGAUGCUAGAACUGUCACCGGGUCUUUCGGAUAGGAGACAUUGUCACGAGUGACUUUAGAGAAAUGUCGUUCAUCUAGUUCGUCCGGCUCGUUUCUGUUCGUGCUGACGAAAUGUUCGGAUCAAUCCUUCGGGACGAGAUAGAUUUUUUAGAAGUAAAUUCAUAAUUUUCUGCGAAAGAAAACUUCAAUCUUUUCCAAAUCUUACUUUUUAUUGAAAAAAAGUAAGCAGAAACAAUGAAUAACUUAAUAAAUUAAUUAUAAUGCUUUAUAUAGGCCUAUAUAACAGCAGGGAAAGCAAUAAUAGUGGGAAAGUAUGACGAUCAAUCAAAAAAAUAACCCAAAAGUUUUUACAUUUUUUGGACUCAAAACACCUUGAAACAUCGAAAAAUGCAAAAAUAUAUGUAUAUAUAUUUAUUUAUUCUGGUUAUUUUCUGUAUAUAUGGAUGUUUGUGUAUGUGUUUUUAUGAGGUUGGCACGAUUUUUCAACUAUAAAGCUUAAUAACUUCUGUACUUUUUGUUGAAAAGUUCCGAAAUUCUACAAGAAUUAUGCAGACAUGUUUAUGUAUUAAGAGCAUUGAUGCUAUUAAAUUUUGGUGGUUAAAGGUCAAGGGAGUUGGAGAUUGAGAGGGUCGUGCCAUAUCUGCAGUGGAGUCAGACACUCGUUAUUAGCAUUUACAAUUUUGUUUUUUAUUUAUAAAACUGUA